rnacentral:rRNA from 1 species
AACGAACGCCGGCGGCAUGCCUAACACAUGCAAGUCGAACGGACUGCUUCGGCAGUCAGUGGCGGACGGGUGAGUAACGCGUGGGAAUCUGCCCUGGGGUACGGAACAACGCCGGGAAACUGGCGCUAAUACCGUAUACGGCUUAAGAGCGAAAGAUUUAUCGCCCUGGGAUGAGCCCGCGUCGGAUUAGGUAGUUGGUGGGGUAAAAGCCUACCAAGCCUUCGAUCCGUAGCUGGUCUGAGAGGAUGACCAGCCACACUGGGACUGAGACACGGCCCAGACUCCUACGGGAGGCAGCAGUGGGGAAUUUUGGACAAUGGGCGAAAGCCUGAUCCAGCAAUGCCGCGUGCAGGAUGAAGGCCCUCGGGUUGUAAACUGCUUUUGUACGGAACGAAAAGCUUCGGGUUAAUACCCUGGAGUCAUGACGGUACCGUAAGAAUAAGCACCGGCUAACUACGUGCCAGCCGCCGCUGUAA